rnacentral:tmRNA from 1 species
GGGCGUGUAAUGGAAUCGACGAGAUUGAAAGCAUCUUGUAAGCGAUUUGACUGGCAAAGUGCCAACAAACAUAGACGGAAAGAAUAACAUCUUACCUCUUUUUGGUGGUGCGGGCGUAAAAGCUGCAGCAUAGCCAAUUGGGUGCCGACUACCUCGAAACAGAAAGUCGGGUUUUAGGUUAAGGAUGGGUUUCCCUGUUCCUACAUAAAACAGGGUGGUGGAGGAUGCCAAACAUCCCCAGAUGAUCGUAACAACUUACAAGAUAGGCACAUUUUCGGACGCGGGUUCGACUCCCGCCACGUCCACUA